AAUUAUAAUUAUACGUAUAACACCGAUAUUAUAUUACAAUUAUAAAUGUAAUUGAAAUAUAAUAUUGGUGAUGGAGUAUUGAAAGGAUAAGGGAUAGUGCUCCGAUCAGAGAUGGUUGUAAUGUCAAAGAGGUGGGUUCAGGCAACAAAAGGAAGAGGCUGUUGGUACGUAAUGCGAGUGAUGUGAUUUGUUUUGAAAGUAAACGCAUAUGAGCCUGCUUGGUGGUUCAAUUCCACUGACCGGCAUGUUUCAGCUUUUUAGUUAUUGGGUGGGGUUUUAUUAAUGUGAAAUUUCACCCUCACCUUGAAUGUGACAGAAUUCUAAAACCUCAAUUCUUCGCUUUUACCCUGAAAAUGGGGAAGAAUAAUGACAUGACGAGCACUGACGGAAUGCUCACAUACAAAAA